AUUGAACGCUGGCGGCAUGCCUUACACAUGCAAGUCUAACGGCAGCACGGGAGCAAUCCUGGUGGCGAGUGGCGAACGGGUGAGUAAUAUAUCGGAACGUGCCCGGUCGUGGGGAUAACGUAGCGAAAGCUACGCUAAUACCGCAUACGAUCUACGGAUGAAAGCGGGGGAUCGCAAGACCUCGCGCGAUUGGAGCGGCCGAUAUCAGAUUAGGUAGUUGGUGAGGUAAAGGCUCACCAAGCCGACGAUCUGUAGCUGGUCUGAGAGGACGACCAGCCACACUGGGACUGAGACACGGCCCAGACUCCUACGGGAGGCAGCAGUGGGGAAUUUUGGACAAUGGGCGAAAGCCUGAUCCAGCAAUGCCGCGUGCAGGAAGAAGGCCUUCGGGUUGU
rnacentral:rRNA from 1 species